UAACCGGUGUGUCCUUCAGGAGACCUUUGU
rnacentral:piRNA from 2 species